CCCAGACUCCUACGGGAGGCAGCAGUGGGGAAUAUUGCACAAUGGGCGCAAGCCUGAUGCAGCGACGCCGCGUGAGGGAUGACGGCCUUCGGGUUGUAAACCUCUUUCAGUAGGGAAGAAGCGAAAGUGACGGUACCUGCAGAAGAAGCACCGGCUAACUACGUGCCAGCAGCCGCGGUAAUACGUAGGGUGCGAGCGUUAUCCGGAAUUAUUGGGCGUAAAGAGCUCGUAGGCGGUUUGUCGCGUCUGUCGUGAAAGUCCGGGCUUAACCCCGGAUCUGCGGUGGGUACGGGCAGACUAGAGUGCAGUAGGGGAGACUGGAAUUCCUGGUGUAGCGGUGGAAUGCGCAGAUAUCAGGAGGAACACCGAUGGCGAAGGCAGGUCUCUGGGCUGUAACUGACGCUGAGGAGCGAAAGCAUGGGGAGCGAACAGGAUUAGAUACCCUGGUAGUCCAUGCCGUAAACGUUGGGCACUAGGUGUGGGGACCAUUCCACGGUUUCCGCGCCGCAGCUAACGCAUUAAGUGCCCCGCCUGGGGAGUACGGCCGCAAGGCUAAAACUCAAAGGAAUUGACGGGGGCC
rnacentral:rRNA from 1 species